CAACUUUUAGUUUUGCUUGUCAUUUCAAUAGUCUUUUUGGUUUUAAUUUAUUUUGCCUAUAAUUUAAAAGAUGUAUCUUUUAUGCUUAUUUUAAUUUUUAUUUAACAUAAAGGAGGGAUAAUAUUAUUCAUUUUUAUGCUUCAAUUUUACUUGUAUCUGCACUUAUCAUGAGAUUGAAAAAAAAGGUGGAAGAGAACCAGGUAUUUAUUUUUGUUUUUCUAAUUAGUAAAGUCUAUUGGAAAAUCUGGAAGGGUAACUAUUUUUUUCACUUUAUAAAGGCAUAGACACUGCCCAAGCAAUGUCACUUUUAUACUUAGCUUUAAGCCAUUGCAACUUAGUGAAAGCAUACAGAGAAUUGCAAACAAGUUCUCAGGAGGAGAUUUCUAAUUUUAUUCAUGGCCUUUAGCAUUUAGAAAGAAGAGAGAAAGAAAGCAGGACAGAAAAAUAAAAGGGGAAGAAUAAAUUUAUUUCAUUGCAUAUAUCCCAAUUUAAAAAUGCUUAAAAAUUAAUAUAAAGAAAUAUAUUUUUAUUCUGAUUCUAGGGUUUCUUUGAGCUCUCUUAAAAUUUAUUUUGUUGCAUUGAAUCUUAUUUGGAAAAGUUGAACACCAACCUUAUUAAUAUGUUUAACAAUGAACCCCUUUUCAUUGUUUUACCAUUAGAAACUUUAUUUAAAUAUGGAUAAAAAAUAAAUUGAAUCUUUGCUUAAUCCUUUUUAGCAAAAGCAGUAGGAGAAAUGGAUUUAAGAUAAAAUAAAUAUCUGACUAUGCAGGAAAAGAGUAAAUAAGGAAAAUAAUUCAUUUCAUCUGAUUCAAUGCACUUUAAUGGUGAUCAGAUCAUUUUGGAAUCCUUUUUCUUCAUUAUUCUAAAAGGUGAUAUAAUUUUUCUCUAUAAAGAAUUGAUUACACAAGUAUAUUCAAUUAAUAUGUUAUAAGAUAAAGAGUUGUACAUCUUUUUUAUUUCUAUUAGUAAAAGCCCAUGCUAUUUAUAAUCACAACUUUAUUUGUAAAAUAAGAAAUUUCAAAAAUCAUCAGUAUAACAUGUAAACACCUCUAAGACAGCACCACAAAAACAGUCAUCAGGUACUCCUGGGGCUACCUGGGAUCCAAGGGAACUCCAGUCUGAAACACAGGACUUUUGGACAGCCUGGGGAGUCAGGGGUCUAAGUCAGAGAAGACUGGAAGAAUCUUGGCUGAUUGGGAAUGGUAUUCUCAGCUAUGCUACAGAGGAGGAACCCUGCACAAGAAGAAAGUAGUAUAUGAAGUGAGCGUAGUGAGUUGCAAACAUGGUGAUUCAGGAUGCUGUUGGCUGUGGGCACUUGUAGGAGGGUGGAGCUUUUGGUGCAGGGUUCUAGGUCAAAAGGGAAAGCUGAAAGGAAACUAGAGGUACCAUCUCCCCAACCCCAGGAUUAAAUGUGCUUACACUAAAUUGUUCUUAUUAAAAAAAAAAAAUAAUGAGCAGGCAAAGAAGAAAGAACUCAACCAUAGUAACUUACUUUGGCAAUAGGGAAGACUGGGGUUCAUCUUCAGAAGAGGGACACUGAAGUAAAAAAAAAAAAUGCCUCUUCUGCACCAAACAGUAAUAUUAAAUUGAUCCCUGCCUAGAAGGAAUUUAUAGAAGAAUUCAAAAAAUACUUCAAAAAUAAAAUGAGAAUGAUUGAAGAAAAAUUGUUAAAAAAAAAAAAGAA